rnacentral:lncRNA from 1 species
UAAUUAAUUAUAAUAAUAAUAAUAUAGUUGUUUUAUAUUCAGAUCAUACUACACAAAACUAUUAUAAUUUAAAUAGAAAUAAAUUAUAAGUAUUAUAAAUAAUUAAAUAUUAGUUGAAAAUCUUAGAACCUAAUGAUCUAAGCCUAAGUAGUAAUAAAAGCAGAAAACAAUCCCCAAUAAAAAUCACAAAAACAUAAUUAAUAAAUACAUAAAAAUUUUAUUAUUUUUAAAGAAAUGAUGUUUACACAACCAUAAAGUACCCCUGUCUCCAAGCAAUGCACUAUCUUUAUCUAAUUAUUGCUUAUUAUUGAGUUAUAGGAAAAGACUUUCUCAGAAGUCAGAUAAUUGAUUGUAUUCAUAAUGAUGUCCAUGCAUUAUUCAUGACAGGAAAUCCUGCACUACCAAAUCCAUCAGGCAGGCAGGAGGACAGACUCCGCCCACUGCAGUCCGUCUGGCCAAUGAGAGUGCAGCUGAGAGUGUAGAGGUGAUGAUGCCCAUGAUGAGAGAUCAUUUCAUCGAUGCAAAGGGUGGAACAAAUCUGAUCAUUAACAGUUAUGGGCCCGUGAAGCCUACCAUUGAGAAGAAGAGAAGAAAGAGAUGGAGUUUCUUUAAGAAAAAUGAAAAGGAGGUGAAGAAAGUCUCCAGUCCAGCAUAUUCCUAUCAUCCUGGCACCACCCUGCUGUGCUACACAGAAACGUCUCCAGAAAACCCACCGACAACUCUGCAGGGUCUGUUUGGGCCAUCAGGUGGCGACAGCGAGGGCUCGCAUUCCAGCGAGGGCAGCCAUGAAACCAGCGACUCGGGACGAUACUCUCAUGACGAUACAGAAGCAACAAACGUGUCUAUCAGAAGUCGCCCUGCUUCCCUACAGGACGAUGGGAACCAAACGCCUGUUCACGAAAAACAGCUAGAAACUACACUUCAGGAACAGGAAAUGACAGAUCUACAUCCUGUUUAACCAAAAAACUACAAGAUCUACAUCCUGUUUAACCAAAAAGCUACAAG